rnacentral:tRNA from 1 species
GUCCUUGUAGUAUAACAAAUUACACCGGUCUUGUAAACCGAAAAUGAAACACACGCUUUUUCCGAGGGCA